GCUUUUAUAGCUUAGACCCAAAGCAUAGUGCUGAAAACGCUAAGACGAACCCUGAAAAGUUCUAAGAGCA
rnacentral:tRNA from 1 species